rnacentral:rRNA from 1 species
UACGUAGGGUGCAAGCGUUAAUCGGAAUUACGGGGCGUAAAGCGUGCGCAGGCGGUGAUGUAAGGCAGGUGUGAAAUCCCCGGGCUUAACCUGGGAACUGCAUUUGUGACUGCAUCGCUGGAGUGCGGCAGAGGGGGAUGGAAUUCCGCGUGUAGCAGUGAAAUGCGUAGAUAUGCGGAGGAACACCGAUGGCGAAGGCAAUCCCCUGGGCCUGCACUGACGCUCAUGCACGAAAGCGUGGGGAGCAAACAGG